AGCGGGGCUUGGGAAUCACACACCCAAGCUUCACCCUUCCUCAUUGCAGGGGUGUGGAAGGAAGUUCAGAUGCUACAGGAUUUCCAGCAGUUUUUCUCCUCUCUCUGUGUUGAACGUCCCUCAGUGUCGGAGAGUUCUUCCUUGUGUCUUACCAGACUCUGUCUUGCUGCAGGACCAGCCUGGAUGCUCCUCCUAGUGGCCAGUCUCCAGAGCACGUGGGAGACCCCAGCUUGUGUCCCCUGCCUUCUUCCGCCAGCUGUGAUGACCUGGGUGAGGAGGAUGCUUUCCCAAGGUUGUCUGUGAAGACUUACCGAGAUCACAUUCUGAGAACUGGGGGCUGGCAGCKCGGAGGACCUGGGCACAGACACACCCCUUGACCCAGUCUGCAGUGGCUUCCUCCUCUCUUGGAAGAGCAGCCUCGAUUUCCAAACAGAAUGGCCU
rnacentral:lncRNA from 1 species